rnacentral:sRNA from 2 species
UAUUUAGUACUCAAUGCUCUGAUGACUCACUAUUAGAUUCUCUAUCUAUUACUAUCAAUCUAUCUAUCACUGUUAAUCUAUACCACUAUCAAUCUAUCUAUCACUGCUAAUCUAUUACUGCUAAUCUAUCACUGCUAAUCUAUUAUUAUUAAUCUAUUACUGUCAAUCUAUCUACUGCUAUCAAUUUAUCUACUGCUGUCAAUCUAUCUAUUACUGUCAAUCUAUCUACCACUGUUAAUCUAUCACUGCUAAUCUAUUACUGCUAAUCUAUUGCUGCUAAUCUAUUACUAUCAAUCUAUCUACUGCUAUCAAUCUAUCUACUGUGUGACGGGUUAGUAUCUGUUAGUAGUUAACUUACACAACCAACCCUCUAUCGCCCGUUUGCCCUCUCAUGUGCUCUUGUGUAUCUACAAGACACCCCUCUCCUCACAAUCCCACUCUGUGCUUGCAUAGUCUCUAAUAAUUCCUUCAUAUAACCUCUAACAUUCUUCCACUCUGUGCUCCACUGCAGCACAAUCUCUGAUAUUCUUUCAUCUCAAUUCUUCUUCUAUAAAAACCCUCUCAUACAACUUCUUCUUCUGAUCUUCUUUCUCUUUCUUUUCUUAAUUGAUUUAUAAACUAUUAUCAGAAUAGUAUCAAGUUCAUUGAUAGUGCUGUUGAAACAGAUCAUACAAGCUGUGCAGAUGAUAUGAAUAGUUUAAUCUGCAACAUCAGUAAUAUCUGCUUAAUCAGUGGUACAUCCAUUACAUUACAAAUCAAUUCAUCUGUGUUUAAGGCCUGAGUGUCUAGUUAUUAGAUUUCUAUGCCUGAGUGCAUCAAUUACAUUUAAGACUCA